UACGUAGGUGGCAAGCGUUGUCCGGAUUUACUGGGCGUAAAGGGCGCGUAGGCGGCACAGCAAGUCGGAAGUGAAAGCCCGGGGCUCAACCCCGGAAUGUCUUUCGAAACUGCUGAGCUAGAGUGCAGAAGAGGCAACUGGAAUUCCCAGUGUAGCGGUGAAAUGCGUAGAUAUUGGGAAGAACACCUGAGGCGAAGGCGGGUUGCUGGGCUGACACUGACGCUGAGGCGCGAAAGCCAGGGGAGCGAACGGG
rnacentral:rRNA from 1 species